rnacentral:rRNA from 1 species
UACGUAGGGUGCGAGCGUUAAUCGGAAUUAUUGGGCGUAAAGCGCGCGUAGGCGGCCACUUAAGUCGGAUGUGAAAGCCCCUGGCUCAACUGGGGAAGUGCACCCGAAACUGAAUGGCUUGAGUGCGAAAGAGGGUCGCGGAAUUCCCGGUGUAGAGGUGAAAUUCGUAGAUAUCGGGAGGAACACCGGUGGCGAAGGCGGCGACCUGGGUCGACACUGACGCUGAGGCGCGAAAGCGUGGGGAGCAAACAGG